rnacentral:rRNA from 1 species
GGUACGGAAUAGCCCAGGGAAACUUGGAGUAAUACCGUAUACGCCCGAAAGGGGAAAGAAUUUCGCUAUAGGAUGGGCCCGCGUAGGAUUAGCUAGUUGGUGAGGUAAUGGCUCACCAAGGCGACGAUCCUUAGCUGGUUUGAGAGAACGACCAGCCACACUGGGACUGAGACACGGCCCAGACUCCUACGGGAGGCAGCAGUGGGGAAUAUUGGACAAUGGGCGCAAGCCUGAUCCAGCCAUGCCGCGUGAGUGAUGAAGGCCUUAGGGUUGUAAAGCUCUUUUGCCGGGGACGAUAAU